AUUGAACGCUGGCGGCAGGCCUAACACAUGCAAGUCGAACGAGUGGCGGACGGGUGAGUAAUGUCUGGGAAACUGCCCGAUGGAGGGGGAUAACUACUGGAAACGGUAGCUAAUACCGCAUACCAUCGGAUGUGCCCAGAUGGGAUUAGCUGGUAGGGGAGGUAACGGCUCACCUAGGCGACGAUCCCGAUCUGGUCUGUGAGGAUGACCAUCCACACUGGAACUGAGAGACGGUCCAGACUCCUACGGGAGGCAGCAGUGGGAAAUAUUGCACAAUGGGCGCAAGCCUGAUGCAGCCAUGCAGAGUGUAUGAAGAAGGCCUUAGGGUUGUAAAGUACUUUCAGCGGGGAGGCGUUACCCUCAGAAGAAGCACCGGCUAACUCCGUGCCAGCAGCCGCGGUAAUAC
rnacentral:rRNA from 1 species